GAAAGAUUAGUUUAAUAAAACACUAAUUCGUCAUAUUAGAGAAGAAUAAUUUCAUCUUUUU
rnacentral:tRNA from 1 species